rnacentral:lncRNA from 12 species
AUGCCUUUUAAUAGCCUUAUAGGGAUCCUGAAAAUCCUGAACCUAGAUUUCAUUCAGGAGCUGGAGGUGUUUGACUGGUUCUGGGCACUGUCUGAGCAGAGCCUGUUUGCCACCCAGCUGGGCAGGAUCUGCAACCAGCAAGGCCUCAAGCUGGCCUGCUACCACUGGGCCUUCUCCUCUGAGCCUGAGCAGCCCUCCAGCUCCUGUCUGCAGUCCUACCAGGUACUAAUGUGGUCUCCAUUUCACCAGAGAAACUGUGUCGGGGGUGUUGGAAGAGAACCUAGGAGUCACCUGCAGGAGCCACUGCACUCCCUGGAGAUCCGCUCCUGUACGUGGGCAUCACCUACUUGUCUCAGAACUUUUCACACCGCCUCCCUGAAGAAGCUGGAUCUGAGUGGUGACAACCUGUCGUACAUGGUCCCUGGGCCCUUGGAGACUCUGCUGGAGGAGGUCUCGGGGACACCGCAGCACCUGUACCUGAAGCACUGCCAGCUGAAGGACGCCGACCAGGCUGCAGAAGCUGUUGGAGACCAUGCAGUGGAGCUGCCCGUGUGGCUACUGCAGCUCCAGAGGGGCGGUUCGGGGGUGGAGGGGUCUGGAAGCUCGCCUGGGGCCCCAGGCUUCCUGGGGGGUUCUGUGCUCUCCUUCCUUUUUUUUAUUUUUAUUUUUCAUUUUUUAUUUUGUGUGUGUGUGUGUGUGUGUGUGUUUGUGUGUGUGUGUGUUUUUUGUGUGUGUGGUUUUCUUUUUUUGUGCUCUCCUUCCUCAGCUGCAAGCCUCAGCCCGGUUCCGACACCCAUUUGUUCCCGUCUCCUGGGCAUGUGACAGAGAUUCCAGGAGCCCAGCCCUCGGGGAGCUCUUCUUUUCCUCAGCAUGCCCCUCUGGACACUCAUUGGUUUUUUUCUUCUGGUCUUUGCUUCUGGGUAGAAGGAAAUUGGGGGGAUCCCUGGGUGGCUCAGAGGUUUAGCGCCUGCCUUCAGUCCAGGGCGUGAUCCUGGAGACCCGGGAUCGAGUCCCAUGUCGGGCUCCCUGCAUGGAGCCUGUUUCUCCCUCUGCCUGUGUUUCUGCCUCUCUCUGUCUGUGUCUCUCAUGAAUAAAUAAACAAAAUCUUAAAAAAAAAAGUUUUCU